GUUGCUGCUGCUGCAUUGCUUGUACGGCUUCGACGAGGCCUUUGACCUGCUGUGCCAGCAAGUCAAAUUGCUCCGCACCGACCGCCGCCGUCGGAGGGGGAGGAGGAGGAGGCUGAGAAACUGGAGGGGAGGUCGGAGCCUGAGAUCUGGCCGCGGAGGCCGUGGACCGCCGGGUGGACGCCUUGCACGGAGGCAUCGAGUGUCGAUCUCGUGGGGGAAGAUUAGGAGUGGGUGACGGAGAGACGGUCGGAGACGGCUCCAUUGAACACUCCUUUAAGAACAAGGGUGCUGCGAAGACACAGCCCUUCCUUUAGCGCCAAUCCUGUUGGUGCAAAAAUCUGCUUGCGCCGGAGAAGCUGGAGUCGGGGAAGCCGCGGUCGCCGCCGGGACCUGCAAAGGAAGUCUAAACCGGAGGUGGGGUUGCUCCGGCAAGACCCUCCGACGCUCAAGUCAGUUCUCUGCCUUAACAAGAAUGGAGGGCUCGAACGGAGAAUUUAGCAGAGUUUUGAGAUAAGAAAUGAGCUUAGAGAAUAACG
rnacentral:lncRNA from 1 species